AGAAUCAACGCUGGCGGCGUGCCUAACACAUGCAAGUCGAACGAGAAAGGGAUUUCGGUCCUGAGUAUAGUGGCGCACGGGUGAGUAACACGUGAAUAAUCUACCUCCGAGUGGGGAAUAACUGAGAGAAAUCUUAGCUAAUACCGCAUAACACUUACGAGUCAAAGCAGCAAUGCGCUUGAAGAGGAGUUCGCGGCCGAUUAGUUAGUUGCGGGGUAAUGGCCACCAAGACGAUGAUCGGUA
rnacentral:rRNA from 1 species